CGUAUACAAUCUACCUUUAACUGAGGGAUAGCCCAGAGAAAUUUGGAUUAAUACCUCAUAGUAUUAUAAUUAGGCAUCUUUUUAUAAUUAAAACUUCGGUGGUUAAAGAUGAGUAUGCGUACUAUUAGCUAGUUGGUAAGGUAAAAGCUUACCAAGGCAACGAUAGUUAGGGGGCCUGAAAGGGUGAUCCCCCACACUGGUACUGAGACACGGACCAGACUCCUACGGGAGGCAGCAGUGAGGAAUAUUGCACAAUGGAGGAAACUCUGAUGCAGCCAUGCCGCGUGCAGGAAGAAUGCCCUAUGGGUUGUAAACUGCUUUUAUACAAGAAGAAACCUCGGUACGUGUACCGACUUGACGGUAUUGUAUGAAUAAGCACCGGCUAACUCCGUGCCAGCAGCCGCGGUAAUACGGAGGGUGCAAGCGUUAUCCGGAUUUAUUAGGUUUAAAGGGUCCGCAGGCGGAAUAUUAAGUCAGUGGUGAAAGCCUACAGCUCAACUGUA
rnacentral:rRNA from 1 species